rnacentral:lncRNA from 1 species
UAGUUGUUUCCUAUGCUCUAGGUAUACUGAGUUACUUACAGCGCCCCUAAAUAUGUCAUGAGUUUUAUGUCCCAUUGACUUUGUAGAUGUUGUUUCUCUGCCCAGAAGAAUGUUUUCCUUUUCCUCCCCACUUUACCCCCCCCAGCAAACUCCCAUUCUUUUUCAAAACCAAGUUCAAAUGUCUCCUCUGUGAAACUUUCUGAGAUCCACUCCUUGGCUCUCAUGGAGAGAAGGUGCUUAAUGAAUGCUGAUGAAUGGGCAGUUUUUCAAGAGGCCCUUGCAUGCUGAGUCAGAAGGGGAGGACUCUCUCAGCUAGGGAGCACAGCACCAGUUUUGGGCCAGGUCAGAACCAAGCCAUUGGAAUCUUCAGGAGGCUUCCAGGAUGAAAUGCAACACUCCAGUUACUACUAAGUCCCUCAGAGAUGCUGAAGAAA